CCUACGGGAGGCUGCAGUGGGGAAUAUUGGACAAUGGGCGAAAGCCUGAUCCAGCCAUGCCGCGUGUGUGAAGAAGGCCUUCGGGUUGUAAAGCACUUUCAGUGGGGAAGACAGCCUUGGGGCUAAUACCCUCGAGGAAGGACAUCACCCACAGAAGAAGCACCGGCUAACUCCGUGCCAGCAGCCGCGGUAAUACGGAGGGUGCGAGCGUUAAUCGGAAUUACUGGGCGUAAAGCGCGCGUAGGCGGUCUGAUAAGCCGGUUGUGAAAGCCCCGGGCUCAACCUGGGAACGGCAUCCGGAACUGUCAGGCUAGAGUGCAGGAGAGGAAGGUAGAAUUCCCGGUGUAGCGGUGAAAUGCGUAGAGAUCGGGAGGAAUACCAGUGGCGAAGGCGGCCUUCUGGACUGACACUGACGCUGAGGUGCGAAAGCGUGGGUAGCAAACAGGAUUAGAUACCCCAGUAGUC
rnacentral:rRNA from 1 species